GCUAACGGCAGUUGCGCCAUGAAAAUGGCAAGACGGGUCGGGGCUGGCAUAGAAAGGCCGGUAGGCAGUGCAGCGGAAGGUAAGAAAACCGCCAAGCGAAAUUAAGUCGGGAAAACUGAAUGAUACG
rnacentral:sRNA from 12 species